CAGAAACCUUGAAAGACAGGAAAGUUGUGGUUUUGUUAUGACUAUUUAGUGAAAAAGGGUGAAAAGAGUGAAUGUGACCUCACUAUCUGGAAUAUCUGUCAUCAGCAGAACUCUAAACACAGAUAAACCCAGUUCUGUAAAAACUGCUUGUAUUUAGCUGCAGAAGCAAGAAUAAAUUACAGACAACCUGAUAAUAUAAUAAAGUAUCAUCAAUUAGGAAAUGAAUAACAAAUGAAUUACAGAAAGCUGCAGACACUAAGAAAAUGUAAGUAAUGGUCAGUGCUCACAAACGAGUGAGUUCACAGUAUAUGGUUUUUGGAUUUCAUGUGGUAGGUGUUUGGUCUGUUAUGUGUUGCAGUUUUGACAGAAAUAUACCCAUGUCUUUCUUACCAUGUUGUCCAAAUAACGACUGAACAGUAGAAUUAAUAUUUUCUAGCAUCAGAUGUCCUGUGUAGUCAGUGAAUAGAAAAAGGGUCUUUGAAUGUGUUACUCCUCUGAAGUACAGCUGUCUCCAAAUAAGAAUAAUAUAUAUAUAUUUUUUCUAUUAAACUAUUAGGAGUUCAGAAACCAUUUUACAGGUAGAGGUGUACAUUUUGUAGGAUGGAUCCCACCCUGAGGGAUGAAUCUCCUUCCAGGUUGUGUUUAUAACUUUGGAAUUGGUAAGAAAAGUAGACUUCAGGAACACUUAGCUGGAAUCAGGGACUCUGGAGUGAUCUGUAAUAUCUUGGGUUUCCCUGGGGAGAAUAAGGCAGAAGAUUCCAGGAGGAAUAUCCAUCAAAGAGACAAAAACGGCAUGUAUCUGUAUCUCAUACUGCUUCAAUUGAUUCAGUACAAGCUGAAAACUCGAAGAGUUGGGUAAAACUCCUCUUCCUCUACAGCUAGUACUUGUCUACCAGAGAUGAGUAUGAUUGAGAGAGCAGCUGUUUGUGUCAUUCUGAACAAAUACUGAAGUGCAAGACCCAGCAAAGGACAUCAUCUGCAAUUCUGGUACUAGACAUAGAAAAAUACCAUAUGAACGUUAUUUUGGAAAAACUUUUCCUGAAAGCUAAAAGAGACAAACUUAUUGAUGCUUAACUUGUCCUACAGAAAUAUUAAACUAGGUUACCAGUAGCACAAAUGUCAAUAGAAGUCUUACAGAAUGAUUGAAUAUAGUACAAAAAGCAGAGAAUGAUGCUUUGCCAUGAAGAAAAAAUAUUCUUCCUUUUGAGUGUGCUGGCAGAAUAUGGUGUUGAGGUAAAGAUAUCAGUAGUAAGGAAGUGACCAAAAUGGUAGAUUGAUUGAAAUAGCAGAAUAACUCAUUUUUUUCCAACCCUGCAUAAAGCAGGGUUAAUGAUAAAGUGCAGACUUUGUGUAUGGGAGACUCAAGUCUAGACGUGCAUAUUAGUAUGGAGAAAUAAUUUAUUUUCUUUUAUUCUGUGAAGAAUGAAAACUAUUAUGUAAGGUGUUUCAAAACUUAUCAUUGAAUGAUUGAAUGGAAUGAAGCUUUCAGCCUUCAUGUAUUAAGUUAAUUCCUUUUGUGGUAUUUCCGGAACAGGAAAAGCAAGUGUUUCAACUUCCAUCUGGACUCAGUUUUGAAAUACAUCAAAGACAUUAACUGGGCCUUGUUGUAGAUGGAUUUAAUAGAAAAGAAGUUUCAUAAUCAUACAAAUAUUCUUUUUCAGAGCAAACGAUUAGCAGUCUAAUAUACCUUAUAUAUCUUAUAGUAAAAUUUAUAUCUGAUUUACUAAGACUCAUUCUAUGAUAUAUUAAAACAUUGGCUAAUAGAUGGAGAGUUCCUGAUUUAUGCAUUGGUGGAUAUACAUAAAUCCCCUGCAUUUUAACUUUCAUUAGAAGCUUUUCCUUGACUGAUAUUAAAGCUGUAUAUAAAGAUGUAAGCUGAACUCUCUUUUUUUUAUCAUUGUGAAUGCCUGUAUAGGAAAAUGGUGUGAAGAAAAUCAAAAAUAAUUUAAUUUAGACAUUUCUAAAAUAAUCUUUCUAUGGGACUUUCUUUCCUCUUUUGGAACUCUUAACAGCCUUUCCAAGAUGAAGUUAAAAACAGUAACCCCCAAAGAUAUACUCUUUUAGUCAUUAUCAUGGGCUGUUCCCUAUAACGUAAACUCAUUGCAAAAUUUUCAUUGACCAAAACGUCUGGAAACAAAAACAAAAACAAAACCAACCAAACAAAAAAACAACCCAAAAGAUUUACUUUUAUCAAACACCUGUGUGCAUCCUCACAACAUUUAUUUACUAUGGCCUCAUGGUAAUUUUGGUACAGGAUGAUUAUUCUUUUUGUUAAUCACUGAAAGUAAACAGAUGAUGUGGAACGCCCCUCUCUCUCCAAUCAACAUGUUAGAGACAUUUUCUAAGAGAAUGCAUGGCUACAAACAGGUCCAAUAAGUCCAUGGUACAACAGUGGAAUAAUUAAAUUGUCUCAUAUUGCCAUUAAAAUAUUUUCUUAACUUGCUUUUCCAGCUGGCUUAGAUUCUGUGUCUUAGUUCCGUUGAAAUCAGAUUCAUCUUGACCCUGAACGCAUUGAUGAGUUCCUGGCCCUUUUGUUAUUACAAAUGGUUGUUUUUUAGAGGAAAAACAGUGGCAAAAAGAGACAUCACAGAAAUAUUAUCUUAACUGUGACAGACCAUGGGAAAUUCACAUUUGGAUGAAACUUUAACCUUUUGCUUUCACUGCAAGGUGGGAGCAUUUCAAUUCUACCGACUUCUGCUAUUUUCACAUUUCUUUAAAAAGCCCCUCUGUGGUCUGUAAUAAAUUCUUUGGGUCUCUAAAAAUAGCCA
rnacentral:lncRNA from 1 species